GCCAGUGUGGUCUGGUGGUUUGAGUGUUGGACCAUGACUCUGGAGACCAGGGUUCGAAUCCCAACUCAGCCA